UGCUUGCUGCUAAAGCCGCGAGGCGGGGACCCACUUGGGGUCGCUGGAGAGUGGAGGCGACCCCCUUUGGGUCGCAGGGACGUCCCUGAUCUACCUGGAGAGCCCGCAGCUGAAUCGGAGCUGCAGCUGCGCCGGGCGGUGCGCGCCGAGGUCCCCCGACUCGGAGACUAGGCAGUGGCAGCGACCACGGAGGAGCUCCAUGUGUCCAGCGCAGACAGAGGCCACGGAGGAGAAGGGCUGGGGCCGGCCCCCCGAGACUCGGCCAUGGCUCUG